CAAUAGCGUAUAUUAAAGUUGUUGCAGUUAAAAAGCUCGUAGCUGUGAUGAUGGAAUGUUUUGCGGUUUACAUUUAGUUGUAAUCUGUGAUAACGUAUCAUUUUGGUUCGGAAAAUGCUUAAGGAGUGUUAUUCCAGAACCACUGUUACUUUGAGUAAAUUAGAGUGUCAGAAGCAGGUAUAAUGCUUGAAUACACCAGCAUGGAAUAGCGAAGAGGCGAUCGUGUUGUUUGUUGGUUACACAUGGUUUGCAGGGCUUAUAGAAACAGUUGGGGGCAUUUGUAUUCAACAGUCAGAGGUGAAAUUCUUAGAUUUGCUGAAGACAGGCUAAUGCGAAAGCAUUCGUCAAAAAUGUUUUUGUUAG
rnacentral:rRNA from 1 species